rnacentral:lncRNA from 1 species
CCGACGAGCUGCCUUAGCCUAAGUCCAACCAUCUAAAGCUCAAAUUUUUCUCUCUAACCCGCAAUUAUCCUAUUUUUAGCUCGAUAUAAUAUCUUUUUGAACCACUAGAAUUAACUGCUGCUGAUCGAGUUUUGCCGCCUCAGUUGAUUGUCAGUGAGCCCUCUUUCCUCCUAUUCCAUUCUCACUAGAAUUGAGCCCCAUUUUUCAAUCUAUUUUGAACUUAUUUUUAGCUCCUUUUGGCAUUGCUCUCAGGCCACCAUUGUUGUUGGACGUCAUCCAUGCC